AUAUAUAUAUAUAUAUAUAUAUAUAAAACACACAUAUAUAUAUAUAUGUGUAUAUAUAUAUAUAUAUAUAUAUGUGUGU